AGCGUAGGCGGACUUUUAAGUGAGAUGUGAAAUACCCGGGCUCAACUUGGGUGCUGCAUUUCAAACUGGAAGUCUAGAGUGCAGGAGAGGAGAAUGGAAUUCCUAGUGUAGCGGUGAAAUGCGUAGAUAUUAGGAGGAACACCAGUGGCGAAGGCGGCUUACUGGACGACUACUGACGCUGAGGCUCGAAAGCGUGGGAGCAAACA
rnacentral:rRNA from 1 species